CAUUCUGCUUUCUAGGUAGAUCUGUUAUUUACACUAUAGGGUCACAUCUGAAAGGGUUUACUGAGGAGGAAUUUUGUUUCUGAAAAACACUCACUUUUUUUUUUUUUUUUUUUUUUUGAGACAGGCUUGCUCUAUUGCUUAGGUUGGAGUACAAUUGUGUGCUACCAGCUCACUGCAGCCACAAGAUCCUGGGCUCAAGUGAUCCUCCUGCCUCAUUCUCCCCAGAAGAUAAGAUUUACAGACAAAUUGGCUGGAACAGACUUCCUUUGUUUUUGAUGACCUGAAAACUUUGGAGAACUGAUCAGGUAUUUUAUAGACUGUCUCUCAAUUUGUUAUUGUCUGAUUAUUGAAUUUAUCAUUUUGUGGAGGGGGACUACAGAGGUGAAAUAAUAUCUUCAUCACAUUAUGUCAAGGGCUCACAUUGUCAACAUGACUUAUUUCUGUUGAUGUAAAUCUUGAUCACCUGGUUGAGGUAGUAGCGGUUGUCAGGUUUAUACAUUGUGAAGUUACUCUCUUUGCCCUGCCUUCCAUAUUGUACCCUUUGGAGGAAAGUCACUUAUUCAUAGCUGACAGUUAAGAGAUGAAGUGUUCAGUC
rnacentral:lncRNA from 1 species